GACAAGGAAAGCUGUUCUCUGCAUUUCCAAGAGACAAGGCUAUACUUCCACAGCCCAAGGUUGUAUUUGUAAUAACCCAGAAUACCCCUGAAGGAAUGGCCAGAAUGACCCUGGUCAUAUUCAAACCUCUCUCUCUCGCUCUCCCCGGAAUAGACUUCCAGGAGCAUUUUUCUUUUUAUCUUUGUAAGGGUAAUUUUUAUAACAAUUAUAAUUAUUUUUUCAACUAUUUAGAGGUGGAUGUUGCACACUGGUGGUGGACGAGGAGAUUCCCCCUUCUAUGCAAAGCGCUAUAUAAAUGUAAGGAAUUAUUAAUUAUUAUUAUUUAAAUUUCUUCAGUCAAUCACAAUACUAUAGACUGCAUUUAAAAUGAUUUACACAGGCUGUUUAAUGCUGAUCAUGUACUGUAUGUGUAAUUACACAAAAACUACAUCAUGUAAAUAGCCUGGAAAUGAAAAACACAGGAACUCUUUAGUGAGUCAAGCUGCAAUAUCAUGACAAAAUUAUUGUUUAUUAUUGCCCUUGAUGUUGUAAUAAUGAUUAUUAAUUUUCUGGUCUGUGUUAAAUAUAACUAUACUUUGAUAUUUUGUUGUACAAUGUAAACUGCACACACUCACACCCCAAACAUUCCUAUGUACUGUAUUAACAUAUAUGGAAAAAUAAACAACUGUUUCAAAAUGUGUGUUUUCUGCAUGGGUGUGUGUAAUUUGCAUUGUAGAGCAAAAUGUCAAGCAUCGUCAAGUUGUUUACAUUAUUUUACUCAUUAAUUGAAAAAAAUAUAGGAAAAUCUUGAGGGAAGCAGUGUAGAAUUAGUCUUUAUUAGUCAGGUUUUGUCAUCACAACUAAACCACCAUUUUGUAUUUUAUAUAUAUAUAUAUAUAUAUAUGUGUGUGUGUGUGUGUGUGUGUGUGUGUGUGUGUGUACAUGUAUAUAUUAUACUUAAGGAGCUCAUUAAUUAAACUCAAUUUGGAAUUCACGUCCACAAUUUUUUGUGUUGUCUUAAUUUGUUUAAUAAUUUUUACACAAAUACUAUUAUACAACUACAUUUCACGAUUAUUUAUUUUACUUUAUAAUUUACUAUUAAUUUAUUCAUUUUUGUCUAUUCUGUAUUAUUCCACCCUUGAUAUUACAUAUUCUUCUUGCUAUUAUUCAUCUAUUGUUAUUCAUUUAUUUAUUAUGGUAUUAUACAUACAUGUAAUUUGUGCUAUUAUAAAUCUAUUAUAUCACUUAUGUUAUUGUACUGUUGUACUCGCCUUUUGUAACUAAGUUUUACUGGAUCCAUAAAGGCUUAUCAGUUAUAUUUGUUAUUGUUUGUUGUGGAGUUUAUCUGUAUAGAGUGCUAUCAAAAUAAAUCCACAAGUGAGAAGUGUGAGCGUUCACAAUUUCUUACGAAAAAUAAUAAUUUUCCAAACCUACCUAAAUAACUGGAGGCAAAGUAAUUUUUAACUGCAUGUAGAUCACAAACCUCUGAAAUCGGUUGAUAAAUGUAAACGUUAUCGUGAUUUUUUCCAGAAAAAAACGCAGCUGCCCCGUUUACUUCCAUUUAUUUUUAAAGCAGUUUUGCCCUCACAAACAUGGCGGACGCGUUGACGUAUCGCAGCAACGGCUCAAAGCGGCCAAUGAGGCGUCUAGGUAUUUAUAUGUCUAUGGUUGCGAUGACACGAAUCACGCGAUAAAGUUUUCAUGUUAUGAUUUAACCUACAGUAACGUCAAAAGACAACAGAACCCGUAUGGACCUCGUCACGUCGCGGCGGAUUCAGUGUGUUAAAUGCUCUCCUACGUACAGUAUAGCGUCUGCUAAAUGAGACGUAACAAAUUGUUGGUUUCUGCUGUCUUUUGUUGCCUACAUGCUGCUCGCGGAGUAGAAUUAUCCGUUCACAAUGAAUCAAAUUUGUUUUGCACCGAAUAUCUUAAAAUACUUUAUCAAAUUUUAUU
ensembl:lncRNA